rnacentral:rRNA from 1 species
UUUUUAUUUUUUUUAAAAAUUUAUAAAUUUUAAAAAAAAUUUUAUUGGGGUGAUAAAAAAAUUAAAUGAACUUUUUUAAAAUAUAUUCAUAAAUUUAUGUAAAUUGUUAUAAUUUUAUAUAAAAAAAUAAAAUAAAA